GAUGAACGCUGGCGGCGUGCCCAAUACAUGCAAGUCGAGCGAAUGGAUUAAGAGCUUGCUCUUAUGAAGUUAGCGGCGGACGGGUGAGUAACACGUGGGUAACCUGCCCAUAAGACUGGGAUAACUCCGGGAAACCGGGGCUAAUACCGGAUAACAUUUUGAACCGCAUGGUUCGAAAUUGAAAGGCGGCUUCGUCUGUCACUUAUGGAUGGACCCGCGUCGCAUUAGCUAGUUGGUGAGGUAACGGCUCACCAAGGCAACGAUGCGUAGCCGACCUGAGAGGGUGAUCGGCCACACUGGGACUGAGACACGGCCCAGACUCCUACGGGAGGCAGCAGUAGGGAAUCUUCCGCAAUGGACGAAAGUCUGACGGAGCAACGCCGCGUGAGUGAUGAAGGCUUUCGGGUCGUAAAACUCUGUUGUUAGGGAAGAACAAGUGCUAGUUGAAUAAGCUGGCACCUUGACGGUACCUAACCAGAAAGCCACGGCUAACUACGUGCCAGCAGCCGCAGUAA
rnacentral:rRNA from 1 species